UCGGUGUGUUUGAACGGGAGAGUUUUGGAAUCUGAUUGUUUCUUAUUUUUGGUUACACUUACACUAUACUGCAGCAACAAAUGCAAAAGUGGAGAUAUUUUCAGCUUCAAGAACGGUUUUCAUCCGGACUCAGUUUGCUGAGCUCUGACGGAUACGUCUGCUUAGUACGCCGUCCCAGAAGUCUCCUCCUGUAAGUUUAACCAGGUUUCGGGCUCCAACAGAAGUUGUGUACAGUUUGCAGAUUGGAGGUUUCAGACAGGUGUUUGUGUCCAGAUUCCUUCAGGUGAAUUUCCUGCAGAUUCCUCCUUCAGUCUGACCUUCUUGGAUGAUGAUGACUGCAGCAUCACUGUCAUUUCUAAAGCUUCCAUCAGCCUGAAUGGAAACAGAGCACAGCAAGAGGAGGAGCUCCACAACUGAAUAUGAAAGGCUUCAUGUUGGAAGUGAAGAGCUGCUGUGUCCUCUCUAUUGUUCAUUCAGUACAAGUGGAAAUGAUGCAGCUCUGCUUAGUUUGGAUGAUCAUCUUCAUGUUUCACACUGGAUCCUCUGAGGAUUUAGUGAAACCAUUUAAAGAUGUAAUGCUGGCUUUGGAAGGAGACUCUGUGACUCUCUCCUGCAACUAUUCAGGCUCUGUACAAAACCUCUACUGGUAUCAACAGAAGUCCAGUUCAUCUCCACAGUUUUUCCUCGCAGAAUAUUCAAAGAAAGCAGGGUUUUCUUUGAAACAUGACAAAACAGCAAAGGAGUUUCAUCUGCAGAUCUCCUCUGCUGCAGUGACAGACUCUGCUGUGUACUACUGUGCUCUGCAGCCCACAGUGACAGGAAACACCAAAACUCUGUACAAAAACCUUUGGAGCAAAGACAACAGAAUACUCCACAACGUCCACUAGAGGGAGUCACACACUUAACUGAGAAGAUUCCAACAAGAUUGUUCUUUCUCUCCACUGUUUUAUACUUUAAAAAUGUUCUAACUACCUGACAGUUUGGUCCAGAGGACAACAUGUUAUGAUCAACAAUUAUUUUCAGUGACAACUAACAUGCUUCAUUCGAGGUCGACUUUGUCAGUGAUUUCUUCAAGAUGUCAUUUUCUUCUUUUUGGCUUUUUCC